rnacentral:rRNA from 1 species
UACAGAGGGGGCAAGCGUUGUUCGGAAUUACUGGGCGUAAAGGGCGCGUAGGCGGCCCGCUAAGUCGAACGUGAAAUCCCCGGGCUCAACCCGGGAACUGCGUCCGAUACUGGUGGGCUUGAAUCCGGGAGAGGGAUGCGGAAUUCCAGGUGUAGCGGUGAAAUGCGUAGAUAUCUGGAGGAACACCGGUGGCGAAGGCGGCAUCCUGGACCGGUACUGACGCUGAGGCGCGAAAGCCAGGGGAGCAAACGGG